ensembl:lncRNA
CUGGAUGGGAAAAUAAACGAGGGCUGAAGUCAGCUUCCUUGAUGUUUUAACAUUCCGUUUUAAUAUCAACUCCUCCUUUAAGAUCCGUAAACAUUGGGAGGAACGGCCUUGCUCCAUUUCUGCAGUGAGCUGGCUCUUUAUGUUUCUAAAUUCUCAACAACCUGCUGUGCUCAUCUGCCACUGUCCCUGGACCUGCAGAUUUCUGUCUCUUCUCUGCCACAUUUCCUCUGAUGCCACUCUAUCUUUAUUUUGAGAGAGAGGAGCUUUUAUUUCCAACAGCGGGAGAUAGAGUCAUGACAUAAACGCUUGUAAUCCAGGCCACGAUUUCAGGAGUACCAAAUUCCAGGUUCAGAUCAUCUGCUCUGGAAUAGACUCCCUCAUGGUCAAAAUUGGACAGAGCUCUGCUAGCCUCCAGGUACAUAUCCGUCCUGCACGCCAAUGGGCUCAGCCUGGAAAGACUGCAUGUUAUUUACUGAGUAGCAGGCCGUGCUAGUGUUGCCUGGGAGAAUCAUUUACUGUUGCCUGGUAAAUAAAUCCAGCUGCUCUAUUCUCUAAGGCAGCCUGGAUGCAGGGAGAAGCGGACAGGCAGCGGGCUCAGUUGCCAGCAGCUGCAAAUCAGAGCUUACUCCCUGGUGAGACAGACAGUGCAGGGCCCGGGGAAGAACGCCUGGUGGGUUUUCUCUGCCUGGAGCAUCUUCGAGAAGGCACGUUUCAUCCACCCAUAAGACUUAAGAGAGACAGAAGAAAUGCCUUCUCCACGGGCAGAUGGAGUGAGCAGUGUAGAAUCCAUGACCACAGUUCAAGGCAUCUCAGAGACUCAUUUCUGAAGCCAGGGCAGAAGAAUCAUGCUGCAUCUCUACAGAAACGUAGGUUUGUCAGCGGUUUCUGUUUUUGUUUCUCUCCCAUUAUUUUUCCAGGUAUUUUUCUUCUUUCUUCUCUUGACUUCCUACCUCCUGCCCCUUCAUGUUUUUUUCUUCCCUUCCUUCCUCUUCCUCCUCUAGGAAAACAGGGGACUUUUACUUUUGUGUACUGGCUGAAAAAAAUGUAACAUCAGGAGACACUUUGAUAAUCCUGUGAUUGUGACCGUGAUAAGGAGGAGAGAAGGAAGAACAGCAAAACUAAUUUGCCCCAUACAAAAUCACUCACCUUUUGCAGACAAACUGCCCAUUUUCUCUAUUCCAUUCAAGCUACAUUGGGUGGGAGAAUUUCGAUCAUAAACUCCUGAAGAUGGCGUUCCCGUCAUGGCUCAGUGGUUAACAAACCCAACUAGUAUCCAUGAGGACACAGGUUCGAUCCUUGGCCUCGCUCAGUGGGUUAAGGAUCCAGCAUUGCUGUGAGCUGUGGUGUAAGUCGAAGACGCAGCUCAGAUCCUGUGUCGCUGUGGCUGGGACGUAAGCUGGCAGCUACAGCUGCAAUUCAACCCCUAGCCUGGAACUUCCAUUUGCCCGCAGGUGCAGCCCUAAAAAGACAACAACGACACACACACAAAAAUCACUGAAGAAGGUAAAACUGAAUUAUUUGUGUUAGGGUCUUUUUUAAAGGAAAGAUCAGUUUUUCUCUGGUUUUCAUAGAUGUCACGUUCAAGUUCAUGUGUUUUUCAUGCUGGGGAGGUGGUGGGAGUGGAUUGUAUUUCAUGCAAGCAAUUCUUCUAAGGAGAUGUAUCAGUGAUAGUCAAUGCAGACUUCAAAACCUACUUCAUCUGAGACAGUGAACAUCUAGGGAAACAUGAAUGUACCUUUUUUCUAUACAACUAAAACCCAUCAGAGUAGCCCAGGUAGCCAAUAAUUCAAGUGCCAUUAUCUCAUUAUCCAUAGGAUCAAUUUUGGUCCCUGUGGUGCACCUGUAGACACUUGCUGCUGCCAACUGGGAAAGAAAAAAGCACAACCUAAAAGUUAUGAAUUACGGUUUGUUCAGCAGAUUUUCUGGGGACUUUAAGCCCAGGAGGCAGCCUCUCAGCUCCGAGGAUCGGUUCUGAAAAGGCCAAGGAGGAGCCAGGAUAUAGAAGAGUUUUUGCAGCAAAGACCAGAUAACAGCAAAAGAUUACUGUUUGUGAAAGAAAACCAGACAUCUCCAGUUAAUGAAUUAGUGCUUUUCUCUGUAUGGGAAGGUGCAAAAUCUGGGCUUAUUGAAAUCAUUUCUUGGAUCUGCACCUGAACUAUUCAGCAUCAAUGUCCUGUUUUUCUCCAUGCUGAAUCCCCUUGGGGGCACAAUUGGGGGCAGCUACAGUGGCUGAUGGCUCGAUGGUCACAACAUCCUUUGUUGACUGAUGUGGCAGGUGGCAUUUUUCAUCCUUAGCAUCAAUAGCCAGAACAGUGCCUGUAUUUACAGAGUGCUUAAGGAGCCGAGCACAGCUGGGGCGACUGCAGUGGCUGCUGGAUUAACGGCCAUAGCAUCUUUCAUUUGCUGAUACAACACUCUUCCCUCCACGCCGCUACUGUUUCCAGUGUGGAGUUGGUGGGGCAGGGGGGAAUCACAUUGAAAAUAGUUUACAAAGAAGAGAAAGUGUAUUUUAUCUAGGUGACUUGGAAAGAGACACUGCUCAAAAACCACCAGUCCACUAGGUUUAGUGGGUUUUUUGUUUUGUUCUUGGUUUUGUAUUUUAGGGCCAUACCCGCGGCACAUGGAGGUUCCCAGGCUAGGGGUCAAAUCGGAGCUGUAGCUGUUGGUGUACACCACAGCCUCAGCGACACAGUAUCCCAGUUGUGUCUGUGACGUACACCACAGCUCAUGGCAAUUCCAGAUCCUUAACCUAGUGAGUGAGGCCAGGGAUUGAACAUGUGUCCUCAUGGAUAUUACUCAGAUUCAUUUCCUCUGAGCCAUGACGGGAACUCCUCAUUCAGAAUUUUUGUUACCGUCAUAACCCUUGGCUAGGAAAUGAGGGGAAGUGUGGUGAAAACAUUGUUUUUACAGCCAAGUUGCAUAAAAAAAUCAUUAAGGAGUUUGCAUCGUGGCUCAGUGGCAACGAGCCUGACUAGUAUCCAAGAGAAUGCAGGUUCGAUCCCUGGCCUUGCUCAGUGGGUUAAGGAUCUGGCGUUGCCGUGCACUGUGGUGUGGGUCACAGACGUGGGUCACAGACAUGUCUCAGAUCCGGUGUGGCUGUGGUGUAGGCCAGUGGCUGCAGCUCUGAUUUGACCCCUAACCCCUUAUGCUGCAGUGCAGCCCUAAAAAACAAAAAAUAAAUAAAUAACAAAAGAUCA